rnacentral:rRNA from 1 species
UACGUAGGUGGCGAGCGUUGUCCGGAUUUACUGGGCGUAAAGAGCGCGCAGGCGGUCGUUCAAGUCGCGUGUGAAAGCCCCCGGCUCAACUGGGGAGGGUCACUCGAUACUGAUCGACUCGAAGGCAGGAGAGGGUAGUGGAAUUCCCGGUGUAGUGGUGAAAUGCGUAGAUAUCGGGAGGAACACCAGUGGCGAAGGCGACUACCUGGCCUGUUCUUGACGCUGAGGCGCGAAAGCUAGGGGAGCAAACGGG